CCCAGCCUGGAUUGUACGACAGCCCUGCACAUUUUGAACCUACAUCUUGACACUUGGGACUCCUAUAUCUUCAGGUGGCUGUCAGGCCUCCCCUGAGUGGAAGGCAAAAGCCUGAAUGCGGAAACCCGCUUAGCGAUACGCUAGGCGUCAAAAUAGCAGGGAACGGCACUCCGGGUUUCUU
rnacentral:other from 1 species